GAGGGUAUAGCUUAGUGGUAGAGUGUGUGCCUAGCAUGCAUGAAGUCCUGGGUUCAAUUCCCAGUACCUCCA
rnacentral:tRNA from 1 species